CAGCAGCCAUCUUGCCUGCUCACCUUCAUGCCAGCAGACCCCUACGUGCUGAACUGCGCAGCUGGGAGGGCAGCCAGCUCCUACUGGGCAGCCAGCAUUUUAUCUGCGGAGCCGUGAGCACUCUGCAUGAGCGUACAUGCUGAUCUACAAGCCAAGUAUUAAUUAGACACAGAAUAUUACAAGGAAACCUAACCGGGCUUUUCCUGUACUAUACUGAACCAUGCCCUGGCUCACAGCCAGCUUCAGAUCAAAGGAGCAGACAGGCCACCUUCACAGUCUCCACUCUGAGAUCCCAUGUCUGACAAGUGUUGUGGACCUGGAUCCUUAUAUCCUGUGCAUCUUCACCCAGGCAUACCUGGCUCCUGAGGACUGUCCAUAAUGUUGUGGAUGUGAAAACCUUGUAUAAUUGCACUCUAACCCAUGUGGCAGGUAAGAUGUAAGGAUAGGGAGCUGCGCAAACUUUAAGUUUCUCAGCUGCAUCUCAGAGGAGAGUUUUCCUGUAAAUUCAAUAAAAGCUGGAACUUGUGUCUGUUGGAUGCACAACUACUGGGUCAAGUGUUUGCCUGAUCUCUCAGAGCAACAUGGUGCCAAUUUGACAUGUUAAAAUGCAUGUCAAGGUGGUUUGUCCCAAAUCUUGCCACUUCUUCAGAGGGCUUCAGGAAGUCCCCAGGCAGUUUGCUAGAUUGGGUGGGAAGAGGACUG